UACAGAGGUCUCAAGCGUUGUUCGGAUUCAUUGGGCGUAAAGGGUGUGUAGGUGGCGCCGUAAGUCGGGUGUGAAAUUUCGGAGCUUAACUCCGAAACUGCAUUCGAUACUGCGGUGCUUGAGGACUGGAGAGGAGACUGGAAUUCAUGGUGUAGCAGUGAAAUGCGUAGAUAUCUGGAGGAAUACCGGUGGCGAAGGCGGCAUCCUGGACCGACAUUGACGCUGAGGAGCGAAAGCCAGGGGAGCAAACGGG
rnacentral:rRNA from 1 species